rnacentral:rRNA from 1 species
GAGUUUGAUCGUGGCUCAGAUUGAACGCUGGCGGCAGGCCUAACACAUGCAAGUCGAGCGGUAGAGAGAAGCUUGCUUCUCUUGAGAGCGGCGGACGGGUGAGUAAUGCCUAGGAAUCUGCCUGGUAGUGGGGGAUAACGCUCGGAAACGGACGCUAAUACCGCAUACGUCCUACGGGAGAAAGCAGGGGACCUUCGGGCCUUGCGCUAUCAGAUGAGCCUAGGUCGGAUUAGCUAGUUGGUGAGGUAAUGGCUCACCAAGGCGACGAUCCGUAACUAGUCUGAGAGGAUGAUCAGUCACACUGGAACUGAGACACGGUCCAGACUCCUACGGGAGGCAGCAGUGGGGAAUAUUGGACAAUGGGCGAAAGCCUGAUCCAGCCAUGCCGCGUGUGUGAAGAAGGUCUUCGGAUUGUAAAGCACUUUAAGUUGGGAGGAAGGGCAGUAAUUAUACUUUGCUGUUUUGACGUUACCGACAGAAUAAGCACCGGCUAACUCUGUGCCAGCCGCCG